UAGGAAGCAAGCGUUGUCCGGAAUGACUGGGCGUAAAGGGUGCGUAGGCGGUUUUUUAAGUCUGAUGUGAAAUCCUGUGGCUCAACCACAGAACUGCAUCAGAUACUGGGAGGCUAGAGUGCGGAAGAGGUUGACGGAAUUACUAGUGUAGCGGUAAAAUGCGUAGAUAUUAGUAAGAAGACCGGUGGCGAAGGCGGUCAACUGGGACGUAACUGACGCUGAGGCACGAAAGCGUGGGGAGCAAA
rnacentral:rRNA from 1 species